AGCUUUGCACAGUGGCAGUAUCAUAGCCAAUGAGGUUUAUCUGAGGCGCGAUUAUUGCUAAGUGAAAGAGAUAAUCUAUACUUU
rnacentral:snRNA from 1 species